UAGGAAAAAAUCUGUUCAGUUCUCCUUUAUUAGAAGCAGAGAGAACUAUCUAAAGAAGGAUUAAAUACUUUCUUGUUUUAUUAUUUUUUCUUCUUCUUUUUAGUUAGUAAGUGAUUAGGGCAGUACUGAAACCCAUCACCCUGGAUUUUUACCUGAUGAUCUUUUCUUUUACAGUGCAGUGGAAAAGGCAGUAGGUUUGUGCUAUGUUCCUUUGAAUUGCAUGAGGUGAAUACUUAAGGAAGAAGGAAGACUGGACUUCCCUGUAAGAGAGUAUAUAGCAAGAGGAAGAACUGCCUGAUGGUUUAACACCCUGGUUUUGGAGUCAGAAGGACCUGAGUACAAACUUAGCACUCUUACUUUCUACCUGUAUGAUGUAGGUGAGUUAGUUAAUCUCCUUGAACUUCAAUUCUCACUUCUAAUGUCAGGACAAUAAUUCCUGUCUCAUAGGACUUUCUGAAGAUUAAGAUCAUGCAUGUAAAGCACUUAAGAUGCUGCCUGGUCCAAAGUCAGUAGUCUAUAAAUGUUAGCACUAUCAGUAUGACUUUUGAGCAUCCAAAGGAAAGUUUACAGAAAGUGACUCACUGGGAGAACUUCCACCGGAUAAAGUAACAUUAGAGUGGCCAAGUCAACACUACUGUGGCAAAAAAACAAAAAAACAAAACAAAACAAAAAAAACAAACCUGAUAAGACUUAAAAUAUAUCCUCUUCUGCUAGUCCUAAUUAUGCUUUCAAGUCAAGAUUGAUGCUGAAGUGAAUCAGAUAUCUUAUCCUUUAUAUUGCAUGAACUGUAUUCUUUAUAACACUUAUAUUUAAGAUAUACGCACUAUACCCUGGAUUCAGAUAAUUCUUCAUGAGAAAUUCUUCCUAUAAUCUUCUGGUCUGAGAAUGCUUGUGUUACUUAAAAAUAUUGUUUCUAUACAACAGUAAAAUUGAUAUUUGUCUACCUUUUUAAAACUUUUAAGUUUAGGGGUACAUGUGCAGGUUUGUUACAGGUAAA
rnacentral:lncRNA from 1 species